rnacentral:lncRNA from 1 species
UUCUAAAACCUCUCCUGACUCCUUUAGACUGAAGUUUAGAGAGCCAUGUUGGCUCUAUUCCCUCUAACUACACUUCAUUCCCACUUGGACCAUAGUACUUACACCAUAGUAAGGCAUGCAUACAUCUGUUUCUUCCAGCACACAUCGCAUGCCAUCAUUAUGUUUCAUAUUUUAUAUACAUGAUCUCAUUUAUUCCUUGUUUUUAAAGAUACUGUUUGCAAAUUGGGAAACUAAGACUCAGAACUUAAAAUAUCUCUACACAAACUGGGAUUUGCACUUGGGUGUGUACUGCUCCAAAGUCAUAACUAUAUACAGCCAUUUGCUGUACAAUGAUAUGCAGAUAUGUAUAUUUUGUAUAUGUGUAAUAUAUGAUGGUCCCAUAACAUUAUUAUACCAUACUUUUACUAUACCUUUUCUAUAUUUAGAUAGGUUGAGAUGUACACUUACCAUUGUGUUACAAUUGCCUAUGGUAUUCAGUACAGUAGCAUGCUGUAGUCAUAGGCUAUUCUAUA